rnacentral:rRNA from 1 species
UAGGGAAUCUUCCACAAUGGACGCACGUCUGAUGGAGCAACGCCGCGUGAGCGAAGAAGGUUUUCGGAUCGUAAAGCUCUGUUGUUGGUGAAGAAGGAUAGAGGUAGUAACUGGCCUUUAUUUGACGGUAAUCAACCAGAAAGUCACGGCUAACUACGUGCCAGCAGCCGCGGUAAUACGUAGGUGGCAAGCGUUGUCCGGAUUUAUUGGGCGUAAAGCGAGCGCAGGCGGAAGAAUAAGUCUGAUGUGAAAGCCCUCGGCUUAACCGAGGAACUGCAUCGGAAACUGUUUUUCUUGAGUGCAGAAGAGGAGAGUGGAAGUCCAUGUGUAGCGGUGGAAUGCGUAGAUAUAUGGAAGAACACCAGUGGCGGAGGCGACUCUCUGGUCUGCAACUGACGCUGAGGCUCGAAAGCAUGGGUAGCGAACAGG